UACGGAGGGACUAGCGUUGUUCGGAAUUACUGGGCGUAAAGCGCACGUAGGCGGAUUUGUAAGUCAGGGGUGAAAUCCCGGGGCUCAACCUCGGAACUGCCUUUGAUACUGCAAAUCUCGAGUCCGGAAGAGGUGAGUGGAAUUCCUAGUGUAGAGGUGAAAUUCGUAGAUAUUCGGAGGAACACCAGUGGCGAAGGCGGCUCGCUGGCUCGAUACUGACGCUGAGGUGCGAAAGCUAGGGGAGCGAACGGG
rnacentral:rRNA from 1 species